GUGGCAUCAACUGAAAUUACUAGAAUACCCUUACGCGCUGAUAGUCUUACCUGCUACGCGGAUCACCUGAGAGAUCGACACGUGGCAAGUCAACACUUCAGAGCAGAGCCCGAGAAAUCCGGACCGAACCGCAAGACUCGUUCCUACUUGACCGGGAUUCUCGAGAGUCGUGCCCACUCAUCUCGGAUACCCCAAAACGAGUUCGCCUAUAAAAGACAAGGACUCUCGUCAGGUUCUACACCCGAGAUCCGACAUCCCCAAGUCCGAGGUUCCAUUCCCGAGGUCCAGUCACAGAAGUAGCACGUGGUGAUCGAUCCCGAAAACCAUCGUCAAGUUCAACAUUAGAAAAUUUUGAUGGGUCCGAUUCCGGAACCCACUAGAUUGGUUUCGGCAUAAUUAUAACCCAUCUACUACUCGGCUCCUACGCCAGAGCCAAUAUUGCUAGGUUCCAGUGUCAAAAUUCACACAAGUUUUGGUUGUUGUCGGGCUGGUCACUAACGAUGGCGGGAACCCCACCCCAUAUCAGUUUUGGUUAGUAAGGCCUUUUGUAUUUUUA